AUCUAAAUAACUUAUAGUGAAGAGUGUAACAUUGAAGAUGUUGAAGAAGUUGAUUUAACUUUUAGAUA
rnacentral:tRNA from 1 species